GACGAACGCUGGCGGCGUGCUUAACACAUGCAAGUCGAACGAUGAACCCGGAGCUUGCUCCGGUGGAUUAGUGGCGAACGGGUGAGUAACACGUGAGUAACCUGCCCUUGACUCUGGGAUAACUGCGGGAAACUGUAGCUAAUACCGGAUACGACCCUCGGCGGCAUCGCCAGGGGGUGGAAAGAAUUUCGGUCAAGGAUGGACUCGCGGCCUAUCAGCUAGUUGGGGAGGUAACGGCUCAGCAAGGCGACGACGGGUGGCCGGCCUGAGCGGGUGCGCGGCCAAACUGGGACUGGGAGACGGCCAGACUCCUACGUGAGGCAGGAGUGGGGAAUAUUGCACAAUGGGCGCAAGGCUGAAGGAGGAACGCCGCGUGAGGGAGGACGGCCUGCGGGUUGUAAACCUCUUUUAGUAGGGAAGAAGCGAAAGUGACGGUACCUGCAGAAAAAGCACCGGCUAACUACGUGCCAGCCGCCGCAGUAA
rnacentral:rRNA from 1 species